AGGCCGCGUCUCACCAUCAAAUAAUUUGAUCAAACAGUUUGAGCAAACUUGACGUACGAGAGGAAGUACGUCAAAGUGACGUCACAAUUGCAGUUUGUUGAAAUUCUAAAAAUCGGUGUUCUCACGAUCAGUCUAGUUUGAUCAAAUUUUCUGUAUUAAGAGUUGUCUAACUUGUUUGAACUUAAUCUAAUCCACAAUGAAAAUUGAAAAUGAAAUGGCUGGAGUGAGGAGUGCUGAAGGGAGUUGUGACUUUACUUUGUUGUCAAGUACUAAGUAGGGCACCUAUUACCACUGUUCGAGCAUAUCAGGCAGAAAAAAUAGAAAAGAAAGAAUGUAGGCUAGCUGGACUUUUUCCAUGAAAUGAAAGCCCUAAUAAAAACUAAAUUGUGUACAAGAAGACAUUGGGAAAAAUACAUCUAUGAGUGAAAGCAUCAACAGUGCGAACAUGUACGAAUCAAAGAUUGAAUUAACAGUAGUUAAUCAAUUAAAUUAACCUAUGUAUUUAUAUUUAAACAAUAUUGUUCUUUACAGAUUAAUUGUUGCUUUACGCUAUGUAGGCACAGGGCUCACAUUAAAAAGGCAAAUGGCAGUUUUCACAUUGUCUAGAAGCUAUGGAUGGAAACAUGGUGAACUUCCAACCUCUCAGAAGGGAUACUAUAGAACUGACAGCCAUUACUUUUUGCUGUAUUAUAUUAUGCAGAUGGUCAAUUUCUUAUUGCAGAUAUAAGAAGAAAUGAUCCAAAUAUAUCAGAUUUGAAUUUCAGAUUUUUUUAAUAGCUAUUGGUGCAGUUAGCAACAUUCGGCUGUGAAUAAGUUUAAAAUGUAAAUUAUUUUAGUGCGUUUUUAGUUAAACCUUAUUGUAUAUUUGAAGAUUUACAAUUAUUAUUACACUGAUAAUUAAUAUAA